GCCCGGUUAGCUCAGCUGGUUAGAGCGUCGUACUAAUAUCAUUCUUAUGGGAUAUAAUUAGUUAACUUGCAUUGCAAUGCGAAGGUCAACAGUUCAAUCCUGUUACUGGGCA